rnacentral:rRNA from 1 species
CCUACGGGAGGCAGCAGUAAGGAAUAUUGGUCAAUGGGCGAAAGCCUGAACCAGCCAUGCCGCGUGAAGGAUGAAGGCCUCUGGAUUGUAAACUUCUUUUAUCAGGGAAGCGGUACCUGAGGAAUAAGCACCGGCUAACUCCGUGCCAGCAGCCGCGGUAAUACGGAGGGUGCAAGCGUUAUCCGGAUUUACUGGGUUUAAAGGGUGCGUAGGCGGGCCUUUAAGUCAGUGGUGAAAUCUCCCCGCUCAACGGGGAAACUGCCAUUGAUACUAUUGGUCUUGAAUUUAGUUGAGGUGGGCGGAAUGUGUCGUGUAGCGGUGAAAUGCUUAGAUAUGACACAGAACACCGAUUGCGAAGGCAGCUCGCUAACUAUAUUGACGCUGAGGCACGAAAGCGUGGGGAUCAAACAGGAUUAGAUACCCUUGUAGUC